AAGCAGCACCUGGCGCAUAGAAACCAAAAUGUUAGUGGUAACCCAAGGAAAACUAUUGGAAAAGGAAAGCACAACAAAACUAGGAAAAAGUCCACCAAAUCAUUAAAAAGAAACAAAAAACAAAACAAAAACAAAACAGAAAAACAAAGGAAAAUACAUAUAAAAUCUGAUUUAAUAGCAUUAGAAAUUCCUUAGAAUUGGAAAUUUUUCUAAGAUAUAGUUAUUGUUUUUAUUAUUAUCAUUAUUAUUAUUAUUAUUAUUAUUAUUACUGUUAUUAUUAAGAAGCAGAUAAGCUAUAGAUAAUAGGAGCAUAUAGAUAAUAAGAAACAAAGAUUUAUAAACGAAAGAGCUAAUGGGUGAACUAAAACUGGUACUAGAAUAAGUUAUGUGAGCAAUCAGCAUAGCAAUAUUAAAAACUUAAGAAAGAAGAAGCAAACUGAUGCACACACGGAAGAACAAGUUUUAAUACUCUUCAGGUUCAAACUUAAUUUUAUGAGAAAUGAUUUUAUUUGGUUCGAAAACUUACUUAUCCUCUUAUAUAUUUCAUAAAAUCAAAAUUACCGGUGACGUGAGAUCAGAAAUGCAUCAAAAUUCGCCUCAGAGAUUCAAGAAACACCCAACAAAAAGGUUCAACACCGUGGCAAAUCGACAUGUAUGUGCAUAACGAAAUUAAGAUAGAAUUUUUCCGAUAUGAUUCUAAACCAGAUUACCAGCAUGAAAAUGACAAAACGAAACCAAGCCACAAAAGAAUUAACCCACAAAACAUCAGAAUUUCCACCAAUAUCAACUGUUCACAAUGGUCAUAAAUAAAAAGAAACAGAUAUGCUUGCCAAACCCAACAACAAUUCUCCAAAAUUAAGAUAAACCCAGAUCAUGAUUUGCAUAGAAAGAAACCUUAAACUACUGAUCAAACCCAGAAAUUUCCAGAAAUAACGCACACUGGCAGCAAAAUUUAGCAUAAAAAGAAAACAGUUGAAACACAAUUAAAACAAAUAGCGAUGUGGAAAAGAGCUUAGAAGAAAAGGGGAUUGAAAAGGAACCGACUAGUUUGGCAUUGAUGUUCUUGUUUCCAGUGCUGGCCAUGACUAGUACUGCGAGUGUGAGUUGCAAUUGAGAAUCCGAGUGCAGAAAUUGAAGGAGAAAGCGUAUGCUGAUUGUUGACGAAACACGUGCUGACCAGGAAGAAGGGAGGUUGGGAGGAGGCAGGCAAAGGAUGAAGAAGGCGAAGGAAAGGAUCCUCGACCAACCUGUUUUCCAAGGAAAGACGAAAGCGAUGGGUAAUUUCCUUAGAAAACUACUUGUAUUCUGUCUACUAUUCAUAAAUAAAUAAUUAAAAUAUAUAAAAAAAAAACUCGUUUUUCAUUUUUGUAGACAGAAAAUAAAGUUGUAAUAUUUAAUUUUUCUAUAUACUGUAGAUGGUACACGUGUCAGAACGGCAGCCUUCUUCACAAUUUCGACGUCACCUAUCCAUGAUUUGAUUUAAAAACUAGCAUGAAAAUUAAAAAUUACUCCAAUUGAAU
rnacentral:lncRNA from 1 species